rnacentral:lncRNA from 1 species
UUCAUUGGAAACCCGAUACAGAAAAGAUCGGCAGGAAAUUACAUCAACAAACUCCAUAGAGUAGGAGUCAGAUUAACCCAUUAGACGGCACGUCCCUCUCCUAGUACAAACAGCCACAUUGUAGCUGCCAGCCGGUUUGCUUCUCGCCGAUGAAAGAGCAUUUAACUUGCGGAUAAGCUGCUUGGAGACUCUUGAUGGAAUCAAUAAUAAUAGCAGAAAGAAUCCAGGAAAUCCCCUCACUCGAAGCAAAAAUUUGAUCCACAACAACUUUGCAAUCAGAUUCAAUAAAAACUUGAGGCCAAUUCUUAUGAGAAAUGAUAGAGCAAGUAUCUUUAAAUGCCAUUGCUUCAACCACUUCAAUAGGUCCGACACAAAGCUGACGAUUACUUCCGUUGAUGAUUUGACCAUUAGAAUCUCGGCAAGCCAUAGCAAUACCUGCUAUUGGGUUAUCCUUGACCAUAGAAGCGUCACAAUUUAUCUUAAGACAACCCUCUUUUGGUCGCUGCCAAGAAACUCCAGUCAAAUUCGCACCACUUAAUUGUGUUCUAUUGGGAACUCAAGGCUCCCUGCCAAACCUCAAUUGGAUUGUCGUUGCUUCCACCAAAAACCAGUUCGUUACGAGCUUUCUAUAUGGACCAGCAAAGAUUAGCAAGAAGAGCUUCGGGGAAAGAUGGAAUAAUCCCAUGCCAGCAACGUUGAAACCUACCGAACCCUUCCCUUCUUGUAUCAUG